rnacentral:rRNA from 1 species
UGGGGAAUAUUGGACAAUGGGCGAAAGCCUGAUCCAGCCAUGCCGCGUGUGUGAAGAAGGUCUUCGGAUUGUAAAGCACUUUAAGUUGGGAGGAAGGGCAGUAAGCGAAUACCUUGCUGUUUUGACGUUACCGACAGAAUAAGCACCGGCUAACUCUGCGCCAGCAGCCGCGGUAAUACAGAGGGUGCGAGCGUUAAUCGGAUUUACUGGGCGUAAAGCGUGCGUAGGCGGCUAAUUGAGUCGGAUGUGAAAUCCCCGAGCUUAACUUGGGAAUUGCAUUCGAUACUGGUUAGCUAGAGUGUGGGAGAGGAUGGUAGAAUUCCAGGUGUAGCGGUGAAAUGCGUAGAGAUCUGGAGGAAUACCGAUGGCGAAGGCAGCCAUCUGGCCUAACACUGACGCUGAGGUACGAAAGCGUGGGGAGCAAACAGG